AAGUUGGAAGACAGUGUUGCAAUGAAGUAUUAGCCAUGGUCAGUUUUUAUUGGUUUUAUUUUCCAGCAGUUUUAAAAAUGGAACACAUCAAUGAGAAGUGUCAAGUUCCAGUUCCUAAACUUCUUAGGAGCAGAACGGAAGUAAUGCGCGUAGUCACCCUUUUUCUGAUGAAGUGAAUAAUGGCAUUUUUGGGAUAGGAUGACACAACGGCUUCGCCUUACACAAAAUUCUUAAGUGAAUUAUAUAUAAUUGGUGCUUUGUAACCCUGUGCCGGACCGACAUCGCCUAAAACUGAAGUUAAUUAGUUUAUAAAAAAAAUAUAAAAACUUUAUUUUGUUAAAUUUUAUAUGGGCUAUAUCUCUUAGAUUUGGGGAGAUAGCGAAAUUUA